rnacentral:rRNA from 1 species
AGAGUUUGAUCCUGGCUCAGAACGAACGCUGGCGGCAGGCUUAACACAUGCAAGUUGAACGUGAUUUGUUGGGUGCUUGCACCGAGCAAUGAAAGUAGCGCACUGGUGAGUAACACGUGGGAACGUACCUUUUGGUGGGGAACAACAGUUGGAAACGACUGCUAAUACCGCAUAAGCCCUGAGGGGGAAAGAUUUAUCGCCGAAAGAACGGCCCGCGGAAGAUUAGGUAGUUGGUGGGGUAACGGCCUACCAAGCCGACGAUCUAUAGCUGGUCUGAGAGGACGAUCAGCCACAUUGGAACUGAGACACGGUCCAGACUCCUACGGGAGGCAGCAGUGAGGAAUAUUGGGCAAUGGAGGCAACUCUGACCCAGCCAUGCCGCGUGAGUGAAGAAGGUUUUCGGAUUGUAAAGCUCUUUCGGGUGUGACGAUGAUGACGGUAGCACCUAAAGAAGCCCCGGCUAACUUCGUGCCAGCAGCCGCGGUAAUACGAAGGGGGCAAGCGUUGUUCGGAAUUACUGGGCGUAAAGGGAGUGUAGGCGGUUAUGUAAGAUAGUGGUGAAAUCCCAGAGCUUAACUUUGGAAUUGCCAUUAUGACUAUGUGGCUAGAAUUACAGAGAGGAUAGUGGAAUACCCAGUGUAGAGGUGAAAUUCGUAGAUAUUGGGUAGAACACCAGUGGCGAAGGCGACUAUCUGGCUGUAUAUUGACGCUGAGGCUCGAAAGCAUGGGGAUCAAACAGGAUUAGAUACCCUGGUAGUCCAUGCUGUAAACGAUGAGUGCUUGUUGUCGGUAUUGUAUCGGUGACGAAGUUAACGCGUUAAGCACU